CUGACCGAUAGUGAACCAGUACCGUGAGGGAAAGGCGAAAAGAACCCCGGAGAGGGGAGUGAAAUAGAACCUGAAACCGUAUGCGUACAAGCAGUGGGAGCCUACUUGUUAGGUGACUGCGUACCUUUUGUAUAAUGGGUCAGCGACUUAUAUUCAGUGGCAAGCUUAACCGUAUAGGGUAGGCGUAGCGAAAGCGAGUCUUAAUAGGGCGUUUAGUCGCUGGGUAUAGACCCGAAACCGGGCGAUCUAUCCAUGAGCAGGUUGAAGGUUAGGUAACACUGACUGGAGGACCGAACCCACUCCCGUUGAAAAGGUAGGGGAUGACUUGUGGAUCGGAGUGAAAGGCUAAUCAAGCUCGGAGAUAGCUGGUUCUCCUCGAAAGCUAUUUAGGUAGCGCCUCAUGUAUCACUCUGGGGGGUAGAGCACUGUUUCGGCUAGGGGGUCAUCCCGACUUACCAAACCGAUGCAAACUCCGAAUACCCAGAAGUGCCGAGCAUGGGAGACACACGGCGGGUGCUAACGUCCGUCGUGAAAAGGGAAACAACCCAGACCGCCAGCUAAGGUCCCAAAGUUGUGGUUAAGUGGUAAACGAUGUGGGAAGGCUUAGACAGCUAGGAGGUUGGCUUAGAAGCAGCCACCCUUUAAAGAAAGCGUAAUAGCUCACUAGUCGAGUCGGCCUGCGCGGAAGAUGUAACGGGGCUCAAACCACACACCGAAGCUGCGGGUGUCACGUAAGUGACGCGGUAGAGGAGCGUUCUGUAAGCCUGUGAAGGUGAGUUGAGAAGCUUGCUGGAGGUAUCAGAAGUGCGAAUGCUGACAUGAGUAACGACAAUGGGUGUGAAAAACACCCACGCCGAAAGACCAAGGGUUCCUGCGCAACGUUAAUCGACGCAGGGUUAGUCGGUUCCUAAGGCGAGGCUGAAAAGCGUAGUCGAUGGGAAACAGGUUAAUAUUCCUGUACUUCUGGUUACUGCGAUGGAGGGACGGAGAAGGCUAGGCCAGCUUGGCGUUGGUUGUCCAAGUUUAAGGUGGUAGGCUGAAAUCUUAGGUAAAUCCGGGGUUUCAAGGCCGAGAGCUGAUGACGAGUCGUCUUUUAGAUGACGAAGUGGUUGAUGCCAUGCUUCCAAGAAAAGCUUCUAAGCUUCAGGUAACCAGGAACCGUACCCCAAACCGACACAGGUGGUCGGGUAGAGAAUACCAAGGCGCUUGAGAGAACUCGGGUGAAGGAACUAGGCAAAAUGGCACCGUAACUUCGGGAGAAGGUGCGCCGGCUAGGGUGAAGGAUUUACUCCGUAAGCUCUGGCUGGUCGAAGAUACCAGGCCGCUGCGACUGUUUAUUAAAAACACAGCACUCUGCAAACACGAAAGUGGACGUAUAGGGUGUGACGCCUGCCCGGUGCCGGAAGGUUAAUUGAUGGGGUUAGCGCAAGCGAAGCUCUUGAUCGAAGCCCCGGUAAACGGCGGCCGUAACUAUAACGGUCCUAAGGUAGCGAAAUUCCUUGUCGGGUAAGUUCCGACCUGCACGAAUGGCGUAACGAUGGCGGCGCUGUCUCCACCCGAGACUCAGUGAAAUUGAAAUCGCUGUGAAGAUGCAGUGUAUCCGCGGCUAGACGGAAAGACCCCGUGAACCUUUACUGUAGCUUUGCACUGGACUUUGAGCCUGCUUGUGUAGGAUAGGUGGGAGGCUUUGAAGCGUGGACGCCAGUUCGCGUGGAGCCAUCCUUGAAAUACCACCCUGGCAUGCUUGAGGUUCUAACUCUGGUCCGUAAUCCGGAUCGAGGACAGUGUAUGGUGGGCAGUUUGACUGGGGCGGUCUCCUCCUAAAGAGUAACGGAGGAGUACGAAGGUGCGCUCAGACCGGUCGGAAAUCGGUCGUAGAGUAUAAAGGCAAAAGCGCGCUUGACUGCGAGACAGACACGUCGAGCAGGUACGAAAGUAGGUCUUAGUGAUCCGGUGGUUCUGUAUGGAAGGGCCAUCGCUCAACGGAUAAAAGGUACUCCGGGGAUAACAGGCUGAUACCGCCCAAGAGUUCAUAUCGACGGCGGUGUUUGGCACCUCGAUGUCGGCUCAUCACAUCCUGGGGCUGAAGCCGGUCCCAAGGGUAUGGCUGUUCGCCAUUUAAAGUGGUACGCGAGCUGGGUUUAGAACGUCGUGAGACAGUUCGGUCCCUAUCUGCCGUGGACGUUUGAGAUUUGAGAGGGGCUGCUCCUAGUACGAGAGGACCGGAGUGGACGAACCUCUGGUGUUCCGGUUGUCACGCCAGUGGCAUUGCCGGGUAGCUAUGUUCGGAAAAGAUAACCGCUGAAAGCAUCUAAGCGGGAAACUUGCCUCAAGAUGAGAUCUCACUGGGAACUUGAUUCCCCUGAAGGGCCGUCGAAGACUACGACGUUGAUAGGCUGGGUGUGUAAGCGUUGUGAGGCGUUGAGCUAACCAGUACUAAUUGCCCGUGAGGCUUGACC
rnacentral:rRNA from 1 species